UAGCACUUCAGCUGAGUCCCUCAUUUUCUUC
rnacentral:piRNA from 1 species